GGAGGCAGCAGUGAGGAAUAUUGGUCAAUGGACGAGAGUCUGAACCAGCCAAGUCGCGUGAGGGAAGACUGCCCUAUGGGUUGUAAACCUCUUUUAUAAGGGAAGAAUAAGUUCUACGUGUAGAAUGAUGCCUGUACCUUAUGAAUAAGCAUCGGCUAACUCCGUGCCAGCAGCCGCGGUAAUACGGAGGAUGCGAGCGUUAUCCGGAUUUAUUGGGUUUAAAGGGUGCGUAGGCGGUUUAUUAAGUUAGUGGUUAAAUAUUUGAGCUAAACUCAAUUGUGCCAUUAAUACUGGUAAACUGGAGUACAGACGAGGUAGGCGGAAUAAGUUAAGUAGCGGUGAAAUGCAUAGAUAUAACUUAGAACUCCGAUAGCGAAGGCAGCUUACCAGACUGUAACUGACGCUGAUGCACGAGAGCGUGGGUAGCGAACAGGAUUAGAUACCCUGGUAGUCCACGCCGUAAACGAUGCUCACUGGAUCUUGGCGAUACACGGCCAGGGUUCAAGCGAAAGUAUUAAGUGAGCCACCUGGGGAGUACGUCGGCAACGAUGAAACUCAAAGGAAUUGACGGGGGCCCGCACAAGCGGAGGAACAUGUGGUUUAAUUCGAUGAUACGCGAGGAACCUUACCCGGGUUUAAAUGCAGGUUGCAUGAGGUGGAAACACCUCUUUCCCUCGGGACCACCUGCAAGGUGCUGCAUGGUUGUCGUCAGCUCGUGCCGUGAGGUGUCGGGUUAAGUCCCAUAACGAGCGCAACCCCUAUCGCCAGUUGCCAUCGGUUUCGGCCGGGCACUCUGUCGAGACUGCCACCGUAAGGUGCGAGGAAGGCGGGGAUGACGUCAAAUCAGCACGGCCCUUACACCCGGGGCGACACACGUGUUACAAUGGCCGGUACAGAGGGCAGCCACGGGGCGACCCGGAGCGAAUCUCUAAAGCCGGUCGUAGUUCGGACUGGAGUCUGCAACCCGACUCCACGAAGUUGGAUUCGCUAGUAAUCGCGCAUCAGCCAUGGCGCGGUGAAUACGUUCCCGGGCCUUGUACACACCGCCCGUCAAGCCAUGGAAGCCGGGAGUACCUGAAGCAUGCAACCGCAAGGAGCGUACGAAGGUAAUACCGGUAACUGGGGCUAAGUCGUAACAAGGUAGCCGUACCGGAAGGUGCGGCUG
rnacentral:rRNA from 1 species